rnacentral:misc_RNA from 1 species
GAUGAAGAACGUAGCGAAAUGCGAUACGUAAUGUGAAUUGCAGAAUUCAGUGAAUCAUCGAGUCUUUGAACGCACAUUGCGCCCCCUGGUAUUCCGGGGGGCAUGCCUGUCCGAGCGUCAUUGCUGCCCUCAAGCCCGGCUUGUGUGUUGGGUCUCGUCCCCCUUCCCGGGGGGACGGGCCCGAAAGGCAGCGGCGGCACCGCGUCCGGUCCUCGAGCGUAUGGGGCUUUGUCACCCGCUCUGUAGGCCCGGCCGGCGCUUGCCGAUCAACCAAAACUUUUUUCCAGGUUGACCUCGGAUCAGGUAGGGAUACCCGCUGAACUUAAGCAUAUCAAAGCGGAGGA